rnacentral:rRNA from 1 species
GACGAACGCUGGCGGCGUGCUUAACACAUGCAAGUCGAACGGAAAGGCCCUGCUUUUGUGGGGUGCUCGAGUGGCGAACGGGUGAGUAACACGUGAGUAACCUGCCCUUGACUUUGGGAUAACUUCAGGAAACUGGGGCUAAUACCGGAUCGGAGCUCCUGCUGCAUGGUGGGGGUGGGAAAGUUUCGGCGGUUGGGGAUGGACUCGCGGCUUAUCAGCUUGUUGGUGGGGUAGUGGCUUACCAAGGCUUUGACGGGUAGCCGGCCUGAGAGGGUGACCGGCCACAUUGGGACUGAGAUACGGCCCAGACUCCUACGGGAGGCAGCAGUGGGGAAUAUUGCACAAUGGGCGGAAGCCUGAUGCAGCAACGCCGCGUGCGGGAUGACGGCCUUCGGGUUGUAAACCGCUUUCGCCUGUGACGAAGCGUGAGUGACGGUAAUGGGUAAAGAAGCACCGGCUAACUACGUG